UAUCGUAAGCGCGCGUUUGGUGCCCGCACAUGCAUUCGCGUGUGCAGUUAAACGGGAAACAGGCCGCGCUUGCCGCGCUCAACCUGUGCUGUCCCCGCAACGGUAAGCGACCUGCGGCGCUCGAUGGGUUUUAUAGCGCCGCGCAUGCGUUUUCGAUGCCACUGUCCGACGAAUGCGGACGGGAAGGCAAAGCGCAUGAGGCCGCCAGCCCGGAUACCGGCCAGACGCGGAGGCAGCGA
rnacentral:ncRNA from 2 species